AGAAGCCCAAAAGAUGAGUGUCCUCGCCAUUCUUGUUCGGUGUUCCUCAUGUGUCGCGCGAUCCCCUCUUCUCCGAGAAAGCUCUCGUCGAUGGUAGGCUCCCACGGACCCGACAAGGCCGUUCCUCCUUCCCGCGACUGCGGAUGCGCCGGGGCCGUGGCUCCGGUGGAAGCUUUGGGAACCUUGGUUCUUUGUUUUUUCUUCUCUUUUCCUUUUCUUUUGAUCGUUGUCGUUGUUAUAUUUUUUUCUCUUCUUCUUGAUCUAGGGUUAGGGUUAAUGUAGAUCUAGGGGGUCAGGAUACGACGGCACCGAUGGAUCCGACGAGGUCUCUGCGCCUCCUCGCGGCGGCGAAUAAAGUCGAGGCCCUGGCGGUAGUUACGGUGGAAACUAGGAAUCGAAGCUCUUAGUUCUUCUGCUUCCCUUUUCUUCUGAACGCCCUGGUUCUUCUGUUUUUUUUCAUUUUCUUGAUCUGGGGUUAUGGUUUGUGUAGAUCUAGGCGUCAGAUUCGUACGAUUUCGACGGACCUGACGAGGCCGCUCCGCCUCCCCGCGGUUGCGAAUACAGCCGAGGACGGGCUGAUGGUUACGGUUGAAACUAGGAAUCGAGGCUCUUAGUUCUUCUGCUUCGUUUUUCUUUUGCGCGUUCUCGUUCUUCGUUUCUCCUUUCUUGAUCUAGGGUUAGGCUUUGUAUGGAUCCAAGGGUCAGGUUCCUACGGCUCCGAUGGACCUGAUAAGGACGUUUCGCCUCCGCGCGGCGGCGAAUACAGCCGACGACGGGCCGGUGGUUACCAUGGAAACUCCAUGAAUCCUGGUUCUUGGUUCUUUCUUUUUUUUUUUUUUCUUUUCAACGUUCUUGUCGUUCUGUUUUUCCUUUUCUUGUCAAGCAUUUAUGCUUGUGUAUAUCUAGGGUUUGGUUCUUGGCGCGGUCUUGAUAUAGGUGGUGGCGAUGGAUACGGGGGCUGUGAGAUCUCAGUGGGGAAACAGGGGAGGUGGUAGGGGAUACCGAGGUGGUUACCGCGGUGGAGGAGAUGGUUGGGAAGGCGAUUAGCACUGCCCCACCCGAGGACGGGCCGGUGGUUACCAUGGAAACUCCAUGAAUCCUGGUUCUUGGUUCUUUCUUCUUUUUUUUUUUUCUUUUCAACGUUCUUGUCGUUCUGUUUUUCCUUUUCUUGUCAAGCAUUUAUGCUUGUGUAUAUCUAGGGUUUGGUUCUUGGCGCGGUCUUGAUAUAGGUGGUGGCGAUGGAUACGGGGGCGGUGAGAUCUCAGUGGGGAAACAGGGGAGGUGGUAGGGGAUACCGAGGUGGUUACCGCGGUGGAGGAGAUGGUUGGGAAGGCGAUUAGCACUGCCCCACCCGAGGACGGGCCGGUGGUUACCAUGGAAACUCCAUGAAUCCUGGUUCUUGGUUCUUUUCUUUUUGUUUUUUCAACGUUAUUGUCGUUCUAUUUUUCCUUUUCUUGUCAAGCAUUUAUGUUUGUGUAUAUCUAGGGUUUGGUUCUUGGCGCAGUCUUGAUAUAGGUGGUGGCGAUGGAUAUGGGGGCAGUGAGAUCUCAGUGGGGAAACAGGGGAGGUGGUGACCGCAGUGGAGGAGGUGGUUGGGAAGGUGAUUAGCACUGCCCCACCCAAGGACUGGCCGGUGGUUACCAUGGAAACUCCAUGAAUCCUGGUUCUUGGUUCUUUUCUUUUUUUUUCUUUUCAAUGUUCUUGUCGUUCUAUUUUUCCUUUUCUUGUCAAGCAUUUAUGUUUGUGUAUAUCUAGGGUUUGGUUCUUGGCACAGUCUUGAUAUAGGUGGUGGCGAUGGAUACGGGGUCGGUGAGAUCUCAGUGGGGAAACAGGGGAGGUGGUGACCGCAGUGGAGGAGGUGGUUGGGAAGGUGAUUAGCACUGCCCCACCCAAGGACUGGCCGGUGGUUACCAUGGAAACUCCAUGAAUCCUGGUUCUUGGUUCUUUUCUUUUUUUUCUUUUCAAUGUUCUUGUCGUUCUAUUUUUCCUUUUCUUGUCAAGCAUUUAUGUUUGUGUAUAUCUAGGGUUUGGUUCUUGGCACAGUCUUGAUAUAGGUGGUGGCGAUGGAUACGGGGGCGGUGAGAUCUCAGUGGGGAAACAGGGGAGGUGGUAGGGGAUACCGAGGUGGUUACCGCGGUGGAGGAGAUGGUUGGGAAGGCGAUUAGCACUGCCCCACCCGAGGACGGGCCGGUGGUUACCAUGGAAACUCCAUGAAUCUUGGUUCUUGGUUCUUUUCUUUUCGUUUUUUCAACGUUAUUGUCGUUCUAUUUUUCCUGUUCUUGUCAAGCAUUUAUGUUUGUGUAUAUCUAGGGUUUGGUUCUUGGCGCAGUCUUGAUAUAGGUGGUGGCGAUGGAUAUGGGGGCAGUGAGAUCUCAGUGGGGAAACUGGGGAGGUGGUAGGGGAUACCUAGGUGGUGACCGCAGCAGAGGAGAUGGUUGGGAAAGUGAUUAGCACUGCCCUACCCUAGGUCUAAGCAUGGCUGUGGAAAUCUAAAUUUUUCGCAGAUUGGAGUGCAACAAGUGUGGUGCAUUUUGAACCCAGUGCUGGCACUGGGAAUGGUGGCGGUGGAAGUGACAGCGAGAAAGGAGUUAUGCCGGAACUGUGGUGGUAGGAACGAUGAUUACAGGGGAAGAGAUGCUUGAUAUGCUGGACGAGUCGCUAUGGUGGCCCCAGUUCUUACCCUUCUCCGUAUGGAUCUCCUCCUCCAAACAGAUAUGGAAGUGAAUGUCUAGUAGCCCAUGGUGGACUAUCGUACAGCUAGAGGGGGCAUGGUGACCAUAUGAACCGUAGCCAUGAUAGUGUUGCUCCACCUCAUGGUGGAGGUGGUGCCCCUGUUGCUCCUGCUGUAGUUAAGCUAUAUGAUGACAAUUGCAGAGAAUUUUGUGAUAAAUAGUACUUACAUCUCAAACAGAUCUUUUGUAAUGGUAUGCACAGGUAUUAGUUAUUUUCUAUUUUAGUUUGCUUUGGUCUUUUUGUUCGCUGAGAUAGAGUGGUUAAUUAGGUCAUGUAACAGGACAAUGGUGCCUCUUUUUUGGAAAUAAAAUGUUGUUAUUUUGUAGUUA